AGAGUUUGAUCCUGGCUCAGGAUGAACGCUGGCGGCGUGCUUAACACAUGCAAGUCGAACGAUGAUCCCAGCUUGCUGGGGGAUUAGUGGCGAACGGGUGAGUAACACGUGAGUAACCUGCCCUUAACUCUGGGAUAAGCCUGGGAAACUGGGUCUAAUACCGGAUAUGACUCCUCAUCGCAUGGUGGGGGGUGGAAAGCUUUAUUGUGGUUUUGGAUGGACUCGCGGCCUAUCAGCUUGUUGGUGAGGUAAUGGCUCACCAAGGCGACGACGGGUAGCCGGCCUGAGAGGGUGACCGGCCACACUGGGACUGAGACACGGCCCAGACUCCUACGGGAGGCAGCAGUGGGGAAUAUUGCACAAUGGGCGAAAGCCUGAUGCAGCGACGCCGCGUGGGUGAUGAAGGUCUUCGGAUCGUAAAACCCUUUUCUAGGUGACGAGCAAGGACGGUAGCCUAGGAAUAAGUCUCGGCUAACUACGUGCCAGCAGCCGCGGUAAAACGUAGGAGGCAAGCGUUAUCCGGAGUUACUGGGCGUAAAGCGCAUGUGGGCGGUUAUGCAAGUGGCGUGUGAAAGCUCCCGGCUAAACUGGGAGAGGACACGUCAGACUGCAUGGCUAGAGGGUGAUAGAGGGGCGCAGAAUUCGGGGUGUAGCGGUGAAAUGUGUAGAGAUCCCGAGGAAUACCAGUGGUGAAGACGGCGCCCUGGGUCACAACUGACGCUGAGAUGCGAAAGCGUGGGGAGCGAACGGGAUUAGAUACCCCGGUAGUCC
rnacentral:rRNA from 1 species